AAGGGUAUGGCUGUUCGCCAUUUAAAGUGGUACGUGAGCUGGGUUCAGAACGUCGUGAGACAGUUUGGUCCCUAUCUGCCGUGGGUGUUCGAAGCUUGAGAGGAUCUGUCCCUAGUACGAGAGGACCGGGAUGGACAUACCUCUGGUGGACCUGUCGUGGCGCCAGCCGCGCAGCAGGGUAGCUAUGUAUGGAAUAGAUAACCGCUGAAAGCAUCUAAGCGGGAAACUAACCUCAAAACAAGGCUUCGCUGAGGAUCGUGGAAGACUACCACGUUGAUAGGCCAGGUGUGGAAGUGCGGCGACGCAUGAAGCUUACUGGUACUAAUAAUCCGAUCGGCUUGAUCGU
rnacentral:ncRNA from 1 species